GACGAACGCUGGCGGCGUGCUUAACACAUGCGAGUCGAACGGAAAGGCCCUGCUUUUGUGGGGUGCUCGAGUGGCGAACGGGUGAGUAACACGUGAGUAACCUGCCCUUGACUUUGGGAUAACUUCAGGAAACUGGGGCUAAUACCGGAUAGGAGCUCCUGCUGCAUGGUGGGGGUUGGAAAGUUUCGGCGGUUGGGGAUGGACUCGCGGCUUAUCAGCUUGUUGGUGGGGUAGUGGCUUACCAAGGCUUUGACGGGUAGCCGGCCUGAGAGGGUGACCGGCCACAUUGGGACUGAGAUACGGCCCAGACUCCUACGGGAGGCAGCAGUGGGGAAUAUUGCACAAUGGGCGGAAGCCUGAUGCAGCAACGCCGCGUGCGGGGUGACGGCCUUCGGGUUGUAAACCGCUUUCGCCUGUGACGAAGCGUGAGUGACGGUAAUGGGUAAAGAAGCACCGGCUAACUACGUG
rnacentral:rRNA from 1 species